rnacentral:tRNA from 2 species
UCAAAGAAAGGGGAGUUUAACCCCUACCCCUAACUCCCAAAGCUAGGAUUCUAAAUUAAACUAUUCUCUGC